CGGUGGGUGGUCGGUAACGGCCGUUACCGACUGGCGUGGCCUCCGACCGCCGCCAACUGGUGAGGCUUCCAUCCGCCAAAAGUGGAGGCCUAGGACUGGUCAAGUGUCAAGAAAAGUGAGGCCUACGCUGAGGACUGCUGCCUCAACUGAGCAGAGGGAGGCAUCCCAGAUCCUGCCAGGGGUCGUGGGAGGUGAGGCCUGUUCUGAGGACUGCUGCCCUAGGUGAACAGAGGAAGGAGUCCUAGACCCUGCUAGGAGUCAAGGAAAUCUAAAGAAGGUGAAGGCCUUGGUGUGAGGGUUGCAGCCUCCAGUCAGCUGAAGGAGGACUUCCAGCCUCUACGAGUCAAGGUUGUGGUCCUCUGUUACAUAUCCUGCUCACAUUCCCAUCUGCUACCACUGACCAGAGUGAGAAUGUCUCAGAGUCGGGAGAUUCCACAUUGCACGCAGGAACAACAUUGUGCCCAGGGCCUGGAGGCUGCACAGGCCUCCAAGGAUCCGGAGGAGGCCUCUCUCUCCUCCCAUUCUUUAAUGCCUGGCAACCAGGAGGGGGCUUUGGCUGCUGGGGCACCUAGUACUUCCCAGGGUCCUCAGAGUGCCUGUGUAGCUUAUGCUGUCACCACAGCCCUCUUAUCAGGCAAAUUAGGUGAGCAUUCCAGCAGCCAAGAAAAGGAGGGUGGUUCAGCUUCUUCAGAGUCCUCUUCAGAAGCAGAGAACUUGCCCAUAGACCCUCUAGAUGAGAAGGUGAAUUUGCUGGUGCAGUUCCUGCUGCAAAAGUAUCAAAAGAGAGAGCCGAUCACAAAGGCAGACAUGAUUAAUGAUGUUAUC
rnacentral:lncRNA from 9 species